AUUGAGCGCUGGCGGCAGGCCUAACACAUGCAAGUCGGACGGUAGCACAGAGAGCUUGCUCUCGGGUGACGAGUGGCGGACGGGUGAGUAAUGUCUGAGAAACUGCCCGAUGGAGGGGGAUAACUACUGGAAACGGUAGCUAAUACCGCAUAACGUCUUCGGACCAAAGUGGGGGACCUUCGGGCCUCACACCAUCGGAUGUGCCCAGAUGGGAUUAGCUAGUAGGUGGGGUAAUGGCUCACCUAGGCGACGAUGCCUAGCUGGUCUGAGAGGAUGACCAGCCACACUGGAACUGAGACACGGUCCAGACUCCUACGGGAGGCAGCGGUGGGGAAUAUUGCACAAUGGGCGCAAGCCUGAUGCAGCCAUGCCGCGUGUAUGAAGAAGGCCUUCGGGUUGUAAAGUACUUUCAGCGGGGAGGAAGGCGAUGGAGUUAAUAGCUUCAUCGAUUGACGUUACCCGCAGAAGAAGCACCGGCUAACUCCGUGCCAGCCGCCGCCGUAA
rnacentral:rRNA from 1 species